rnacentral:pre_miRNA from 1 species
UAGGGGUAUAGAGAGCUUUCUUCAGUUCAACCACAGGAGAAUUAGGAUUCAAUCUGCUGCCGAUUCAUUUAAACAAACGAUGUACGGAUUUAUCGAGUACUUCGAUUGAACGAAUGAUGCGGGAGUCAAGUUGAAUUCCAUUUGCUUUUCUUGUGUUUGGACUGAAGGGAGCUCCCUUUUUUCUUCUU